CACCGUAUGGGAUCGGCUCGUCGAUUCCGUCGGCAUUAACAUCCGAUUUCGUAGACCGAAAUCGGUCUCGAUGUCAGCCGAUCAUGUCGGUGUCUUUUAAAUAGGUCGAUUUCGGUUUCGACGUCUGCCGAUAACGUCGGUAUGUCAAUUUUUUGGUGCAAAAGUGAAAAUAUCAGGAUCUUGAUCCUUGCCGUGUGUGAUGGUUUUAGAUUUAUGGUGAAAACCUCGUGCUGCGGAAUCAUCGACCAGCACUGAGUGUUCUGGGCAGGAGGGACUACCCAUGUGGUAAGGAAGUUGGUCUGGUGAUCAUUGGUUCCGGCUCCGGAGGCUGGCUGCUAUUAAAGCUGCCCAGUUGGGGAUUAAGACCGUGUGCAUUGAGAAGAACGACACAUGUGGUGACACCUGCCUCAAUGUGUGAUAUAUCCCAUCGAAACCUCUCCUCAAUAAUACCCAUGGACAUUGCGCAGCUCUUCAAGAAGAGAUGCAUCUCAUUAAGGGCUACGGGAGUAUCACGUCAGCCAAGGAAGUCACCGCCAAGACGGAAUCUGGCUAAGAGAUGACUGCAACGGGAGCAGCAGUCACCCCAUUUCCCCGACGGAUGGGUCGAAAGGUGAUAAAACGAAGGCUUGAAAAAUGCAUCUACAAGGGGUGUCCAUAUCAACGUACUGUGACUGUGACUUUUAUAAAUCCACGUGGGAAGCUAGCUGCCCCUCAGAGGAAUACCAUCUACGAAAACAUCCACAACUCUGCGUGGGAGUCUAGCUGCCCCUUAAAGGGAUACCAUCGGAGGCACCAUAGGCACUCGCAAUUCUUCAGUAGUAUUAAAAAAAAUGACGUUCUUCAAGCUUCCGUCGUCGAAGAUCUUCGUGUUACAGCAUGCAUCAUGAGAUUCACAUGCAGAUAAGCCCAAAAUUAAUUUACCUUAUCAAAAUUGAUCCAAUGUGCCCUUUUCCAUACCCUAAUCAUACCCUUUUUGCAAAAUAUCCUAUUUUCCAUAAUAAUAAUUUUAUCCAGAAAAAUUGUGAAAAAUCAUCAUUUUUUGAGUAAAAAGUGAUGAUGAUGUGUAAAAAAUGAUAAUUUUUUAUUUAUAAAUGAUUAUGAUGAUUUAUAAAAAAAAUAUCAAAGACAAAAAAUAUAAUAUAAAUUGAAAAAUAUUUUAAAAGAAAAAAAAAAGAUUUAAAAAAAGUUAAAAAAUAUAAAUAGGUUUAUUUCUAAUUUAAUUCUUAAUGAAAUUCAUCAUCAGACGAAAAAAUGUUAUUUUUGUAAUUUUUCUUGUAAAAUUAUGUAAUAUUUUGUAUUUUAUUUCAUAUUAUUAAAUAAAAUAGAAAAAUAUAAAGAAAACUCGAUUUUUUAAUUAAAAAUAGACCGAUGGUCUGCAGACGGCAUCGGUUAUGACGUCACAAUGGUAAGGUCGAUUUUCGAGCCGACUGGGGUCGAUUUCGAACCGAUUUAUUGACCGAUUUUGCACCAAAAAAAAGUCUCACGGGGAUAGGGCAUUCAAUGUUAAAUGUCGGCAGACGAAUCGAUCUAUGCGUCGGCAAAUCGUCUGUUGAUAUGCUCGAUUUUGUCGUUCGAAAUCGACUCUACAUCGACAGAUUUACGGU